rnacentral:tRNA from 2 species
GGCUCUAUGGUGUAAUGCUUAGCACUUUGGAUUCUGAAUCCAGUGAUCCGAGUUUAAAUCUGGUGGAACCU